rnacentral:misc_RNA from 1 species
GAUGAAGAACGUAGUGAAAUGCGAUAAGUAAUGUGAAUUGCAGAAUUCAGUGAAUCAUCGAAUCUUUGAACGCACAUUGCGCCCGCCAGUAUUCUGGCGGGCAUGCCUGUUCGAGCGUCAUUUCAACCAUCAAGCCCCCGGCUUGUGUUGGGGACCUGCGGCUGCCGCAGGCCCUGAAAAGCAGUGGCGGGCUCGCUGUCACACCGAGCGUAGUAGCAUACAUCUCGCUCUGGGCGUGCUGCGGGUUCCGGCCGUGAAACCACCUUCAUAACCCAAGGUUGACCUCGGAUCAGGUAGGAAGACCCGCUGAACUUAAGCAUAUCAAUAAGCGGAGGA